rnacentral:rRNA from 1 species
UCCGUAGGCGGGCAAUUAAGUCAGAGGUGAAAUCCCACAGCUCAACUGUGGAACUGCCUUUGAUACUGGUUGCCUUGAGUUACAGUGAAGUAGAUAGAAUAUGUAGUGUAGCGGUGAAAUGCAUAGAUAUUACAUAGAAUACCGAUUGCGAAGGCAGUCUACUAACUGUAUACUGACGCUAAUGGACGAAAGCGUGGGGAGCGAACAGGAUUAGAUACCCUGGUAGUCC